rnacentral:tRNA from 1 species
GGAGAAGUACCCAAGAGGCUGAAGGGACUGGUUUCGAAAACCAGCAGGCGUGAAAGCGUGCAAGGGUUCAAAUCCCUUCUUCUCCG